AUUGAACGCUGGCGGCAGGCCUCACACAUGCAAGUCGAACGAGUGGCGGACGGGUGAGUAAUGUCUGGGCAACUGCCUGAUGGAGGGGGAUAACUACUGGAAACGGUAGCUAAUACCCCAUCCCAACAGAUGUGCCCAGAUGGGAUUAGCUAGUGGGUGGGGUAACGGCUCACCAAGGCGACGAUCCCUAGCGGGUCUGAGAGGAGGACCCGCCACACUGGAACUGAGACACGGACCAGACUCCGACGGGAGGCAGCAGUGGGGAAUAGGGCACAAUGGGCGCAAGGCUGAUGCAGCCAUGCCGCGUGUAUGAAGAAGGACUUCGGGGUGUAAAGUACUUUCAGCGGGGAGGCGUUACCCGCAGAAGAAGCACCGGCUAACUCCGUGCCAGCAGCCGCGGUAAUUC
rnacentral:rRNA from 1 species